rfam:TPA: Bos taurus chromosome X, whole genome shotgun sequence.
UCCCUGGUGGUCCAGUGGUUAAGACUCCGUGCUCCCAAUGCAGGAGACCCGGGUCCCAUCCCUGGCCAGGGAA